rnacentral:rRNA from 1 species
AAACACAAACAAAUCGGACAACAAAGGGUUAAUCUCAGCAGAUCGUAACAACAAGGGUACUCUACUGCUUACAAUACCCGUUG